GCAGAACGAAGAGAAGAAUGCCUGUGUGGAGAGCACUCAGGCUCCCUGGUGCACGACAUGAGUGGGGGUGUGAGACCUCAGCCCCCACUCAGGAAUUCUAUUCCUUCUGCAGGCCUUAAACAGAUGCCAGUUAAAACACACCAUUGCCCUCUGGCAGUUCCUGUCUGCUCAUAAGUCUGAACAGCUGCUGCGGCUGCACAAAGAGCCAUUUGGGGAAAUCAGUUCAAGGUACAAAGCGGAUCUGAGCCCGGAAAAUGCUAAGCUCCUCAGCACAUUCCUAAAUCAGAUUGGCCUAGACGCCUUCCUGCUAGAGCUGCACGAAAUGAUAAUCUUGAAACUAAAGAACCCCCAAACCCAAACCGAGGAGCGCUUCCGCCCUCAGUGGAGCCUGAGAGACACUCUCGUAAGUUACAUGCAAACUAAAGAAAGUGAAAUUCUUCCUGAAAUGGCAUCUCAGUUCCCAGAAGAGAUACUGCUCGCCAGCUGUGUCUCAGUGUGGAAAACAGCUGCUGUGCUGAAAUGGAAUCGAGAAAUGAGAUAGAAUUAUUUCCUCAGCUAUCUUUGGAUGCCUUUGGAGAGAAGACUCCUCUCUCCUCGUCUGCGGCGUGGACUUGAUCAUGGACUGGUGCCUUUGCAUUCAGAAGGAGAGCUGUCAGCGUAGCACCGAAUUCAAGACCAAGGCGUGCUACCUGAGCUGACAGCUUUUUGAAAGCCGAGCUGUUUCUGAACCAUGUACAUACAUGUUCUGAAACUUUCUCAUCAUUUUAUGAGUACUGUUCAUUGGGAGAUGACAAUGAAGAUUAGAUGAAAUUGGAAAUAAACCAACAUUGUUUACAUUCCAGGAGACUUGUAGCUCAGCCACACACGCAGUAAUGACCUGUGCCCGUUCGCCUCUGGCACUGCCCACCCCUCUUUUUUUUUCUUCUAAUUCUGUACUCACAAAAGACAAUCUCGUUUCCUUCUUUCUUCCAUUCCCUUAAAUUCUGAGUAUUGUACAUAUAUUUCUGGGUUCCCGCGAUGAUGUGAAAAACUACCACUGUUUUUUGUCUUCUCACAAAGACAAGAAAAAUCAGGGCAUUUUGUGAGUGCCUUAAGAUCAAACUAACAAGAUCUGACCCUCUCCCCUCACAGUGAGCCACUGCCCCACUUCAGAGGGUAAGAGCCAAAAGCCUCAUUGUGAAAGGCACUGGACUUGGACCAGGGACACCAUCAGGGCCUUGGUUUUCUCACGCAUAAAAUGGAGAGUGGAUUAAUCGCCAAAGAUUCUUCUGAUCUAACAUUUUGAAAUUAUAAGAGAAACUAGAUGACUGUAAACUUGGUCACAGGCCUGGUUCUGGCAGUUCUUUGCGGACUUUUUUCUAGCAUUAUGCCAAAUAAACAUGCAGUCUCAGUGUGCUCUCGCAUGUAUAAAUAUCUAGUCCUUUCUGUGGUUCUCAGCCAAGACAUAAAAACUAGGACUCAGAGCGCAUACAAAACCAGUUAUGUUUCGGAAAGAGGGAAAAGAGUCCCCGAGCCCGGAUCUUGUGCUGCUUUUCUCACUGAAGUGUUGCCUUUUUUCUUUACAAAAUUUGCUUUGAUACUUAGGACCUCUCUGGACUAAUUUCUCUUCCUAGACAGCUCAGCACAGCUAUUGAUAUGUUAGAGGCAGUAUCCUUAAUAUUCAUUCUACAUGAGUUAACGACUUAACUUGAAAUUGGGCCUAAGGAGUGAGAGCUACAAAAAUACAAAAUGCUUGUCCAGGACUCAGCUAUGCACACCUUGAACAGCGCCGGCAGGAGGCACGGAAGGAACUGUGCUCCGUUCUCCUCACUGUCAUGGUGCCACCAGUGUCUGAUGAAGGGCAGAGUGACCCAGACUGCAGGCAGUAACUGACUUCACACAGUCCCUGGCAUUUAGUCAUCUGUGAUUGUUUUAUCACUCUGGACUGUGCAGAGCCACCUGCCACCGAGAUCUGCAUUCCGACUGCCUAUGAACGGGUGUGGGGGCCGGGGGCUGGCUUGCUGAAGUCUUCAACUUGCACUCGGAGCUCCUUUGAUACCUCAGAGCUGGCUGUCAGGUGGCAGCUCACACCCAGACUCACUGGCCACACCUCAGCAGGGGGGAGUCGAGUGUCAGUCUCUUUCUGUGAAGGCUUUUUUUUCCCUUUGGCCUGGGAAUUUUUCCCAUUUUUAUGAAGGGGUUUUAAAUUGUUUCAUUUUGUGUGCUGUGCUUCAAAGCCUUAACUGUCAAAUCUUGCAUUAUCUUGUUUGUACAGAAAUAUACUGGCCUAGCAGAGGCAAAAAAAAAAAAAAAAGAAUUUUAUUUUACUUGUCACACCUGUCUUAAUAAACUGGAGUUUCGCUGCUAAAGAACUCUUCUCUCUGGGGGCAGAGCUUCUAUUUAUGGCACAUAGACAUCAGCUAGGCUUUUGGGAAUCGUUCGUGUUCUUUGUGGAAAUGUCCUUUAGAAGCACCCAUGAAGUAAGUAGUAUGUUCAGACUGUGCACACAGAAAACAUGCUCUGCCUUCACAUGUGAGAUGGUAGACUUUUCCUCUGGACAAAAUGACAGCAGCCUGGCGACUCCACAGUGGAGCUGAGCGCCACUCCCCGUAGCCGAUCUGGGACUGAAACGCUUACACCUCUGCCUCAGAGAGGAGUCCCCCAUGCCCUGCCUGAAAUGACUUCACUGGAAACAGCAGGGCUGCAGCUAACGGGAGUACAGGUAGGAGCUAACUAACUUCACCCAUGAGUCCACUUGUGGGGUAAGAGAUAAACAGUAACCCUUCCAGGAGCCCACUGACGUUUGAGUGCUAAAAAUGCCCCUUUAGGGGGAAAACUGCAUUUUCUCUUCCAAAAAGGAAAGGUUCUUCCAGGCGAGAAACCUGUGGUCUAGAACCACAGCAAGAAGAAGAGGCAUGCUGGCCUGCACCGGAAGACUCACUUUGUCUGCCCUGCGCCAGCCUCACCUCACCCUGCAGUUCCCGUUUCCGCCAUGGAUGCCUCAUCACCAACCCUGACCUUCCCCCUCCCAACCCUUUAUUCAUCCUCACUGCCACUCAUACCCGCCUCCCUGGACAGUUCCCUGCUGCAGAGUUCUUUCUGCUUUCAGCCCUACCUUGGUGGUGAUUUACCUGAAAAUCUUCACAACUGAUCAUUAUCUCCUUCUCUUUGAGACCUGACUGAAAAAAUUAGGUGUGCACACCUGUAAUCCCAGCUACUUGGGAGGCUGAGGUAUGAGGAUUGCUUGAGCCUGGGAGUUUGAGGCUGCAGUGAGCUAUGAUUGCACCACUGCACUCCAACCUGGGUGACAGAGUGAGACCCUGUCUCAAAA
rnacentral:lncRNA from 1 species